UACGUAGGUGGCAAGCGUUGUCCGGAAUUAUUGGGCGUAAAGCGCGCGCAGGUGGUUUCUUAAGUCUGAUGUGAAAGCCCACGGCUCAACCGUGGAGGGUCAUUGGAAACUGGGGAACUUGAGUGCAGAAGAGGAAAGUGGAAUUCCAAGUGUAGCGGUGAAAUGCGUAGAUAUCGGGAGGAACACCAGUGGCGAAGGCGACUACCUGGCCUGUUCUUGACGCUGAGGCGCGAAAGCUAGGGGAGCAAACGGG
rnacentral:rRNA from 1 species